rnacentral:sRNA from 1 species
AUGCGCACGCGCAUCUGACGAUUGUCUAGGUUACUCAUUGGGUUGUCUUCUGGCCUCAGAGUAUCCCUUAUCAGAACCUUGGGCCCCUGGGCCCCUUCACUCAGUACUUGGUGGACCACCAUCACACCCUCCUGUGCAAUGGGUAUUGGCUUGCCUGGCUGAUUCAUGUGGGAGAGUCCUUGUAUGCCAUAGUAUUGUGCAAGCAUAAAGGCAUCACAAGUGGUCGGGCUCAGCUACUCUGGUUCCUACAGACUUUCUUCUUCGGGAUAGCGUCUCUCACCAUCUUGAUUGCUUACAAACGGAAGCGCCAAAAACAAACUUGAAGUUGUCUGAAAGCUUGCUCUACACUUUUACAUUCAUCCUCACCUUUUUUUUUGUGGGGUAGAGGAGGUGCAGUAAUUUACUCAGUGAUCUUUCUACUUUCUAGAAACUGUCCUUCAAAGCUCUUUAAGACCCCCUCGUUAGUCAGUUUUUUCUCUUAUAUGCUCUGGUUGAGCUUGAAUAGACCAGUUGUUACUUAAGAAAGAAACAGAGAAAGAUUUUAGCUUUUCAGUCCUAUUUGGCAGAGGACUUCAGCUACCUUCUUACAGUCUUUGGCUGUGUUGGUACCCUCGUGUGCUCUGAGCUAAGCCACAUACUAAAUUGACUUUUUGGUUUGUAUACCCUUGCUCCCGCCUUCUGAUGAAAACACCUUACCCUCACAACCACCAUCUUUCCUCUCCUUUCCAAAGCUCUUUCCACCUUGCUGCACUAAGAUAAAGUGACACUUCCACUAUAUGUCAAUUCCACACACAUUUAUUAGGUACCUGUGAGGUAGGAUCCUAUCCUCUCAAACUUCCAUUUCUCAUGCUACAGAGAAAGAUAAGGAAGAUGAGCAAGUGCCUGGAAUGGGGCAGGCUGAGCAGUCACACAGGCAUAGAGGCACGCUGAGAACCCGGAGGGGAGACUGCAGAGUGCCUUCCCUGAUGCUGCAGCCGGAAGUGAUCCUUCCCUCCACCUGGCCCCUGGGACACUGUGCUCUGCAGUGUGCAGGGCCUGAUGGCACUGCUAGAUUGCUCCUUCAGCUCAGGGCCACAGCUUAAACAGCUUUACCUUUCCCCUCAGUACCUGUCCCACUAUCUUGCACACAGGUGCUCUAACCAUGUUUAUUGAACAAAGGAGGGAAACUGAUUUCACUUUCACUUGUUCAUUAUCAUUCCAAUUUUUAUGUGAAAAUGGCAUAACCCGUUUGGGGUACCCUCACCCCAAAAGAAAAGCCCAAGUCUACCUUUGACUGGUACCACCUUUUUUGUGGUUUCCUUGGUGAGAAACCUUUAUCUUUUUCAUACCUUUCUAUUCUCAAUCACUUCUCCAAAAGUGUCUCUUUCCAGCGCUGAUUUAUUCAAAACACAAGCAUUUCUGUUUAGAGAUUCUAGCCCAUGGGUUAUCUGGCUAGUUAUUACCUCUCCUGUUCACUUAGUUAUACUUUAUUAUUGCUCACAGGUUGGGGAGGCAGAAUGACUCUGUCACCACUAGGAGCCAUUAGGGCUUCUUCCCUGGAGGACUGCCUGCUUGCUUUCUGGGGACACUAGCCCUCAUUUCCCUUCUGUGGUACAGUGGGGCAAAUUAUUUGUAUUAAGCAAACAUUUAUGGGAAACAACCCCCUCCCCAAAACGGAGCCCCCAAGUAAAGCACAACCCUGAAAGAUUAUGAACUAUGAAUUGUCUCUAGUAGAGAUAAAUUUCUGCAAAUAUAUCUCAGUCUUCCCUCUGUUUCUCUGGUGAUUAAGAAGUUCCUUUUUGGUAAGGAAAAGGAUUUUUAACCAUAGAGUUAGGCAUCAUGGAAAUUCAAACCAGAUUUCUUAAUACCUGGUCUUCCUCAAAGAGAAAUAAUAACAGUAAUAGUGGUGCUGGGAACAAUAUGGCAGAUUAUUGAAUGAAAUUGAUUAACUUGAAUAAAAUGCUGUGAAUUAUCUCUAGCUGAA